rnacentral:rRNA from 1 species
GACGAACGCUGGCGGCGUGCUUAACACAUGCAAGUCGAACGGAAAGGCCCCUUUGGGGGUACUCGAGUGGCGAACGGGUGAGUAACACGUGAGUAACCUGCCCUUGACUUCGGGAUAACUUCAGGAAACUGGUGCUAAUACCGGAUAGGAAUCCUUGCUGCAUGGUGGGGGUUGGAAAGCUUCGGCGGUUUUGGAUGGACUCGCGGCUUAUCAGCUUGUUGGUGGGGUAGUGGCUUACCAAGGCUUUGACGGGUAGCCGGCCUGAGAGGGCGACCGGCCACAUUGGGACUGAGAUACGGCCCAGACUCCUACGGGAGGCAGCAGUGGGGAAUAUUGCACAAUGGACGGAAGCCUGAUGCAGCAACGCCGCGUGCGGGAUGACGGCCUUCGGGUUGUAAACCGCUUUCAGCAGGGGCGAAGCUUGUGGUGACGGUACCUGCAGAAGAAGCACCGGCUAACUACGUG